UACAUAGGGGGCAAGCGUUAUCCGGAAUUACUGGGUGUAAAGGGUGCGUAGGCGGUUAGGAAAGUCAGAUGUGAAAACCCAAGGCUCAACCAUGGGAAUGCAUUUGAAACUUCUUGACUAGAGUACAGGAGAGGUAAGUGGAAUUUCUAGUGUAGCGGUAAAAUGCGUAGAUAUUAGGAGGAACACCAGUGGCGAAGGCGACUUACUGGACUGAAACUGACGCUGAGGCACGAAAGCAUGGGGAGCGAACAGG
rnacentral:rRNA from 1 species